AACGCGAAGAACCUUACCAGGGUUUGACAUGCAGUCGCACCGCCAAGAGAUUGGCGUGCCCGCAAGGGACGGCUGCACAGGUGCUGCAUGGCUGUCGUCAGCUCGUGUCGUGAGAUGUUGGGUUAAGUCCCGCAACGAGCGCAACCCCCAUCGUCGGUUAUACGUGUCCGGCGAGACUGCCGCGAUCAACGUGGAGGAAGGCGGGGAUGACGUCAAGUCAGCACGGCCCUUACGUCCUGGGCUACACACACGCUACAAUGGUCGGUACAAUGGGUCGCCAACCCGCAAGGGGGAGCCAAUCUCACAAAACCGAUCUCAGUUCAGAUUGGAGGCUGCAACCCGCCUCCAUGAAGUUGGAGUUGCUAGUAACCGUAGGUCAGCACACUACGGUGAAUACGUUCCCGGGCCUUGUACACACCGUACGUC
rnacentral:rRNA from 1 species